rnacentral:rRNA from 1 species
AGUGAACGCUGGCGGCAUGCCUAACACAUGCAAGUCGAACGGAAGCACGGUAAGCUUUCUUCCUUACUGUUAGCGACGGACGGACGGGUAACGAGUACAUCACCAUCUUCUUUUUCUUGGGUGAUAACGUAAGGACGCUUCCGCUACUACCUCAUAUGUUCUACGGCUUAAAUCAGGAGAGCUUCGCACCUUUGGCGUCUCUUAUAGCCGAUGCCGCAUUAGCUAGUUGGCUUGGUAAAGGCUCACCAAGGCAACGAUGCGUAGCCGGCCUGAGAGGAUGAUCGGCCACACUGGAACUGAGACACGGUCCAGACUCCUACGGGAGGCAGCAGUAGGGAAUCUUGGGCAAUGGGCGCAAGCCUGACCGAGCAACGCCGCGUGAGUGAUGAAGGUCUUCGGAUUGUAAAACUCUGUUGUUGGGAAAGAAAAGAUGCAGAUUUAAACGUCGACGUCCUGACGGUACCUAAUCAGUAAGCAACGGCUAACUACGUG